AUGCUAGACACUGUCGCUAAGCGAAAACACUCUUUUCCGUUAAACUUGAAACCAAGAAAAAGUAAACAAGCGAAAACACUGUCGCUAAGCGAAUACAAUUUGGUGACAAAACUGCUGGUUUGGCAGAUUGCAUUAUUGGGCAGAUUGCAUUAUAGCAGUGCAUUUGUUCUGCUCCACUUGAAUUAUUCAAGCAAUUAUCAUCUUUGGAUGGCUGCUGAGACAUGCAUUGCUAUUCCACAGUUAUUUGCAGUGAUUUAUUCAUCUAACUUGAACAACACAUAUAUGCUGUGCAUCGCAGUUUCCAUUUGA
rnacentral:rRNA from 1 species